rnacentral:rRNA from 1 species
GAUGAACGCUGGCGGCGUGCCUAAUACAUGCAAGUCGAGCGAACAGACGAGGAGCUUGCUCCUCUGACGUUAGCGGCGGACGGGUGAGUAACACGUGGAUAACCUACCUAUAAGACUGGGAUAACUUCGGGAAACCGGAGCUAAUACCGGAUAAUAUAUUGAACCGCAUGGUUCAAUAGUGAAAGACGGGUUUGCUGUCACUGAUAGAUGGAUCCGCGCCGCAUUAGCUAGUUGGUAAGGUAACGGCUUACCAAGGCAACGAUGCGUAGCCGACCUGAGCGGGUGAUCGGCCACACUGGAACUGAGACACGGUCCAGACUCCUACGGGAGGCAGCAGUAGGGACUCUUCCGCAAUGGGCGAAAGCCUGACGGAGCAACGCCGCGUGAGUGAUGAAGGUCUUCGGAUCGUAAAACUCUGUUAUUAGGGAAGAACAAAUGUGUAAGUAACUAUGCACGUCUUGACGGUACCUAAUCAGAAAGCCACGGCUAACUACGUG